rnacentral:rRNA from 1 species
UUAAAUUGAAGAGUUUGAUCAUGGCUCAGAUUGAACGCUGGCGGCAGGCCUAACACAUGCAAGUCGAACGGUAACAGGAAACAGCUUGCUGUUUCGCUGACGAGUGGCGGACGGGUGAGUAAUGUCUGGGAAACUGCCUGAUGGAGGGGGAUAACUACUGGAAACGGUAGCUAAUACCGCAUA